rnacentral:rRNA from 1 species
UACGACUACAUAUCAGGCAUAUCAAUAAGCGGAGGAAAAGAAACUAACAAGGAUUCCCUUAGUAACGGCGAGUGAAGCGGGAAGAGCUCAAAUUUGAAAUCUUCAAGGUUUUACCUUGACGAAUUGUAGUUUAAAGAAGUGUUUUCUGUUGGAGUUUUGGUAAAAGUUCUUUGGAAUAGGACAUCAUAGAGGGUGAGAAUCCCGUAUUUGACCAUUAUUUUCAGCUGUGUGAUACACUUUCAAAGAGUCGGAUUGUUUGGGAAUGCAGUCCAAAAUGGGUGGUAAAUUUCAUCUAAAGCUAAAUAUUGGCGAGAGACCGAUAGCGAACAAGUACCGUGAGGGAAAGAUGAAAAGAACUUUGAAAAGAGAGUUAAACAGUACGUGAAAUUGUCAAAAGGGAAGCGUUUGACACCAGUGUUGUUUUCUCGAAAAUCAAUUAAAAAAAGUUGGAUUUUGUGUUGUAUUGACCUUAACAGCUUGCUUCACUCUUUUCCAGCUUUUUUUAAUGCACUUUUCGCUUAACAAGUCAACAUCAGUUUCUUUUGUUGUAAAAGGGUCAUUGGAAGGUGGCUUUCUCUUCGGAGAAAGUGUUUAUAGCCUUUGAUCUCUGCAAUCGGAGAGACUGAGGUCUGCAGCGUAGAUCCUUCGGGGUUAGAUACAUUUGUGCUAAGCUACAGCUUUUCAUAGACAACUUGUUGACUAUGUUUAGUCUUGUAACUUACCCGCUUAUGCUAUUUUACCUACGCUUAGGAUGUUGAGCGCAUGUCUCUCUC